ACUCUUGACCUGUGCUUGGUGGUGUGAACAGCGCUUGGCUCCGCGUUCUACGAAUACGAGGUCUUUCCUAAGUACUAACGUACCUAACCUACCCCAAAUUGUUUUUGUCUGGUUUCUCCUCUGUGGCGUUCCUAUUACCAUUUGUUUACAAUCUGUGUUUGUGUUUCCUAUUUGUAUAUAACACCUUAACCUCAAAUUUUUAAAAGUCAGGAAAAAAUGCUACCAUCUCACGCAAAUGUCAGCGGCCCUGUGGUGGGAUCACGAUCAGUAGAAUGGUAGAAUGCUGACGUCACAAAAAUAAUUCUACAAUCGACAAUUUUGGUAUCACGUUAACACGCUUGGGAAAGUAGAAUCGGUGCUCGGCAAUGUUCGGAUAUUCUACUAGCCGUGUUAAAAAUAUCGCUUCUUCUUCUUAAAAAUAUUGCUGUUUGACGUGUGGUUGUCUUUAUUUUGUGGUGGUUGUAUUCAAAAAGCUAACCUAAAGAAAGAUUAUUAUUUGUGAUUAUUUUCAAUUUGUUUAUUUUUGUCUGGUGUUGUUUGGAACUAUUUUAUUAGAAAUCACUAAAUUUUUGGAUUUUACCUGUGACUAGGGAACAUUGUUAUAUUAAGGUAUUUUUAUUCUUGGUAUGAAACAAUGUUAAGACAAUACUGUGUGCUUUUUCAGUCCUAUGAAAGAAAAUGUUUUGGAUGUAACAGAGAAGUACUACAACUUUGUUAUGAAAAUUUGUCUUUAUGUUAUUUUUAUAAUGUUCAUGGAUUAUAUUUGUUUUUAUGUUUUCUUCAGUUUAAAUAAAGUUUAUGUUUUACCCAU